rnacentral:piRNA from 1 species
CAAGUGAGGGCAUCAGUUAGGGA